UACAGAGGGGGCAAGCGUUGUUCGGAAUUACUGGGCGUAAAGGGCGCGUAGGCGGCCCGCUAAGUCGAACGUGAAAUCCCCAGGCUCAACCUGGGAACUGCGUCCGAUACUGGCAGGCUUGAAUUCGGGAGAGGGAUGCAGAAUUCCAGGUGUAGCGGUGAAAUGCGUAGAUAUCUGGAGGAAUACCGGUGGCGAAGGCGGCAUCCUGGACCGAGAUUGACGCUGAUGAGCGAAAGCUAGGGGAGCAAACGGG
rnacentral:rRNA from 1 species